UCACCAACUCCGAGGACAGUUGAAGCUGGGAGGUGCCACUGGCCACCUUUGUCACCACUGAGAGAAGCAUGCCUGGUGUUGAAGCCAACACAGAGGUGAGCAAGGACGUGAAUGAAGAAAAAGAGACAGAGGCCCAGGGACCUCCAGCCAUGCCCACAGCCCAAGAGCCACCCCGGGCUUUUCACACACAAACAUCUAGAACCAAGAAGAGCUUAUUCACUCUGUUUUUACAGUUGAAGAAACGGAUGCCCAAAGAAAGGAAUGGGUUGGCCUGUGGCACCCAGCCAGCAACUGACAGAGCCAGGAUUUGAAACAGAUUCACCCCGAAGGACAGAACCCAGAGUCUGCAUGUUCAGAAAGAUGACACAGCCAAGUUCCCCAAUAUCCACGACAGCCCUCUCUACGGUUCCUAAGGCUCAUUAAGAUGGAAGAGCAAGACUCCAGCUUUUGGACAGAUUCCCAACAAGAAAAUUUAGAGGAGAGGACGGAGAACCAAAGUUUUGCCUUGGCCCCGCCCCUUUUGAGCUACGGUGAAGCUUCUCAGAGGGUGCAACGUCUCUGUUUCCAUGAGCACCAGAUGGAGGGGCUGGAGCUGGCUUCCCUCGAGGUGAUGCUGAGGAAAUGACACAGGGAGUUCACUCAUGAAAAGUCCCGGGGACAUCAACUGAGGAAAAAGCCACAUGUUUCUCAAUACAUUCCCGUUAGUACAGAGGGUGGCAGAUCCAGCCACUCCUCUC
rnacentral:lncRNA from 1 species